UGGGGAAUUUUGGACAAUGGGGGAAACCCUGAUCCAGCCAUGCCGCGUGAGUGAAGAAGGCUUCGGGUUGUAAAGCUCUUUCAGCCGGAACGAAAAGGUUACGGUUAAUACCCGUGACUAAUGACGUACCGAA
rnacentral:rRNA from 1 species